UACGAAGGGGGCUAGCGUUGUUCGGAAUCACUGGGCGUAAAGCGCUCGUAGGCGGAUCUUUAAGUCAGGGGUGAAAUCCCGAGGCUCAACCUCGGAACUGCCUUUGAUACUGGGGAUCUCGAGUCCGGGAGAGGUGAGUGGAACUGCGAGUGUAGAGGUGAAAUUCGUAGAUAUUCGCAAGAACACCAGUGGCGAAGGCGGCUCACUGGCCCGGUACUGACGCUGAGGAGCGAAAGCGUGGGGAGCGAACGAGGA
rnacentral:rRNA from 1 species